rnacentral:rRNA from 1 species
UACGGGGGGGGCAAGCGUUGUUCGGAAUUACUGGGCGUAAAGGGCUCGUAGGCGGCCAACUAAGUCAGACGUGAAAUCCCCGGGCCUAACCUGGGAACUGCAUUUGUGACUGCAUGGCUAGAGUUUGUCAGAGGGGGGUGGAAUUCCACGUGUAGCAGUGAAAUGCGUAGAUAUGUGGAGGAACACCGAUGGCGAAGGCAGCCCCCUGGGAUGUGACUGACGCUCAUGUACGAAAGCGUGGGGAGCAAACAGG